rnacentral:lncRNA from 1 species
CGAUGCCCAUCCUUGGUUAUAUGCGCGAUGCCAGCAGACCUCAUGGAAACCACAGGAAUGUUCCUCCAAACCCACAGACUGCUCCGAACUGCAACCCAGACUAGUUGGUAAGUCUGCGUUACAUCUGUUUAUAAUAGUUUAGUGCAGGAGGGAAGAUCCUGAAAGGGUGGAGUUUGUUCAUUUCUUUUGGAUGGGUUGGGAAAAAGGGGCAAAAAAGUCACAGAGAUGUGGGGUGUGGAGGAUCUAAUGAGUUCCCACGGCCUCACUACCCCCAGUUUGCUUGUAGCAGGCCAGCGACUACCCCCCACCACCAGUGUCUCUUAAAGUUAGGUUGCCUCUUCCUUUUUGUGUCUUCUGAACCCAGUUCCUGUUGUGUCCAUGCCAGCUCUCUCAUUUGCAGCUGUACAGUAUAUUGUAUUAAAACUAAAGGAUCCAAAGACCAUGAUAUUUGCUGUAAUUAUAGAAUUAUAGAGAAGUAGCACAGAUGCCUGCAUUUCUUCUGCUAUUACUUGACUUCCAGUAGAUGUAGAAUGUCAUGAGUUUUUUUUUUUAUUACAUUUUUCCCCAUCAUUAUAACAAGUAGGGAUGUGUGACUAAUUUAGACCUGAACAACUUUGUGUCAAUGGCAAACAAAUUAGUUAGUAUUUAUGAGUCUUCGUCCAACUUUUGCCUUUUUCUUUUUUUGUUUUUGUGAAAUUGUAAAUUGCUGCCAUUAAGCUUUAGGUACCGCCCCCUUCCAUUCCUCUUGCAAGGCAUUGACAGAUUUGCGUUGUCUGUUGUAGCAGUGAUCGUGGUAUCUGUUCAAUGUGCCUGCCAACCAAUGCGGGAAAAAAUUUCAUCUCCCACUUCGAAGUUUGGGAAAAGUCUUCAUGCCAGGUGGCAUCACGUUCCUGUUGACAUUCCACUUACGACUUGCAAGUGUCAAAUGAUUUCUUCUCAUAAACCAGUCCAAGUGCUGUACCGUAAGACUAAAAUGAAUCUUCCAAGGGUAUGUCCUUUUAUCGGUGACAAAUCAGUAGGCAUGGUAUCCACUAACCAGAUACCUAGCUGUGGCUGCCUGGCACAGAACUCUGUGUCAGAUGGUCGGGAGAGCGAGUGGGAGGAGCUUCCUUUUGUAGAAGUGCCAUACCCCUAUUGUCGCUAG